rnacentral:lncRNA from 1 species
UCGAGGAGAAGAAUACUUGUCUAGUGAGUUUCUUGAUUAUUUAAAAUAAAAUAAAAUACUCUCUCAAUGGAUACUUCCUUAUACUCUAUAACUAAAUAAAAUUAUAGAAAGAAAGAAUCGCACCUUAUUUGAUAUUAUACAGUCCAUGGUGUGUUUCAUGGAUCUUCCUAUUGAGAAAUGUGUCCUAAAGCCUAUCAUCU